GAGCAGCCAUGCCGCGUGCAGGAUGACGGUCCUCUGGAUUGUAAACUGCUUUUAUUGGGGAAAAAACCCCCUUUUUCGAAGGGGGUUGACGGUACCCAAGGAAUAAGCACCGGCUAACUCCGUGCCAGCAGCCGCGGUAAUACGGAGGGUGCGAGCGUUAUCCGGAUUCACUGGGUUUAAAGGGUGCGUAGGUGGGUUGGUAAGUCAGUGGUGAAAUCCUCCAGCUUAACUCGAAAACUGCCGUUGAUACUGCCAGUCUUGAAUUCUGUGGGGGUAAGCGGAAUAUGUCAUGUAGCGGUGAAAUGCUUAGAUAUGACAUAGAACACCGAUUGCGAAGGCAGCUUACUACGCUUAGAUUGACACUGAGGCACGAAAGCGUGGGGAUCAAACAGGAUUAGAUACCCUGGUAGUCCACGCCCUAAACGAUGGAUACUCGACAUCGGCGAUACACCGUUGGUGUCUGAGCGAAAGCAUUAAGUAUCCCACCUGGGAAGUACGUCCGCAAGGAUGAAACU
rnacentral:rRNA from 1 species